AUUGAACGCUGGCGGCAGGCUUAACACAUGCAAGUCGAGCGGAGCGAGGGUGCUUGCACCUUAGCUUAGCGGCGGACGGGUGAGUAAUGCUUAGGAAUCUGCCUAUUAGUGGGGGACAACAUUCCGAAAGGAAUGCUAAUACCGCAUACGCCCUACGGGGGAAAGCAGGGGAUCCUCGGACCUUGCGCUAAUAGAUGAGCCUACGUCGGAUUAGCUAGUUGGUGGGGGAAAGGCCUACUAAGGCGACGAUCUGUAGCGGGUCUGAGAGGAUGGUCCGCCACACUGGGACUGAGACACGGCCCAGACUCCUACGGGAGGCAGCAGUGGGGAAUAUUGGACAAUGGGCGGAAGCCUGAUCCAGCCAUGCCGCGUGUGUGAAGAAGGCCUUUUGGUUGUAAAGCACUUUAAGCGAGGAGGAGGCUACUUAGAUUAAUACUCUGGGAUAGUGGACGUUACUCGCAGAAUAAGCACCGGCUAACUCUGUGCCAGCCGCCGCCGUAA
rnacentral:rRNA from 1 species